GCCGGGCGUGGUGGCUCACGCCUGUAAUCCCAGCACUUUGGGAGGCCAAGGCGAGUGGAUCACCUGAGGUCAGGAGUUCGAGACCAGCCUGACCAACAUGGUGAAAACCCGUCUCUC
rfam:Macaca mulatta chromosome 1, whole genome shotgun sequence.